rnacentral:rRNA from 1 species
UGAGGAAUCUUCCACAAUGGGCGAAAGCCUGAUGGAGCAACGCCGCGUGCAGGAUGAAGGCCUUCGGGUUGUAAACUGCUUUUAUGAGUGAAGAAUAUGACGGUAACUCAUGAAUAAGCACCGGCUAACUACGUGCCAGCAGCCGCGGUCAUACGUAGGGUGCAAGCAUUAUCCGGAGUGACUGGGCGUAAAGAGUUGCGUAGGCGGUUUGUUAAGCGAAUAGUGAAACCUGGUGGCUCAACCAUUCAGACUAUUAUUCGAACUGACAAACUCGAGAGUAGCAGAGGUAACUGGAAUUUCGUGUGUAGGAGUGAAAUCCGUAGAUAUACGAAGGAACACCAAUGGCGUAGGCAGGUUACUGGGCUAUUUCUGACGCUAAGGCACGAAAGCGUGGGGAGCGAACC